AGAGUUUGAUCCUGGCUCAGGACGAACGCUGGCGGCGUGCCUAACACAUGCAAGUCGAGCGGAGGUAGCAAUACCUCAGUGGCGAACGGGUGCGUAACACGUGAGGAAUCUGUCCAUCGGCGGGGGAUAGCCGGCCCAACGGCCGGGUAAUACCGCGUACGUCGGCGAGAGCGCAUGCUCAUGCCGGGAAAGCAGCAAUGCACCGAUGGAGGAUCUCGCGGCCUAUCAGCUUGUUGGUGAGGUAACGGCUCACCAAGGCGACGACGGGUAGCUGGUCUGAGAGGAUGAUCAGCCACAUUGGGACUGAGACACGGCCCAGACUCCUACGGGAGGCAGCAGUGGGGAAUAUUGCGCAAUGGGGGAAACCCUGACGCAGCGACGCCGCGUGUGGGAUGACGGCCUUCGGGUUGUAAACCACUGUCGCGAGGGACGAAGAUCUGACGGUACCUCGAAAGGAAGCACCGGCUAACUCUGUGCCAGCAGCCGCGGUAAUACAGAGGGUGCGAGCGUUGUCCGGAAUUACUGGGCGUAAAGGGCGCGUAGGCGGUUCAAUAAGUAGGAGGUGAAAUCUCACGGUCAACCGGGAGGCUGCCUUCUAGACUGUUGGACUUGAGCACGGUAGAGGCAGAUGGAAUUCCCGGUGUAGCGGUGGAAUGCGUAGAGAUCGGGAAGAACACCAGUUGGCGAAGGCGGUCUGCUGGGCCGUUGCUGACGCUGAGGCGCGACAGCCGUGGGGAGCCAAACCAGGAUUAGAUACCCUGGUAGUCCACGCCGUAAAACGAUGGGGCACCUAGGCGUCGG
rnacentral:rRNA from 1 species